rnacentral:rRNA from 1 species
GACGAACGCUGGCGGCGUGCUUAACACAUGCAAGUCGAACGGUAAGGCCCCUUCGGGGGUACGACGAGUGGCGAACGGGUGAGUAACACGUGAGCAACCUGCCCUUGACUUCGGAAUACCAGCUGGAAACAGCUGCUAAUACCGGAUAUGACCUCGGCCCUCCUGGGUUGGGGUGGAAAGCUCCGGCGGUCAGGGAUGGGCUCGCGGCCUAUCAGCUUGUUGGUGAGGUAAUGGCUCACCAAGGCUUCGACGGGUAGCCGGCCUGAGAGGGCGACCGGCCACACUGGGACUGAGAUACGGCCCAGACUCCUACGGGAGGCAGCAGUGGGGAAUAUUGCACAAUGGGCGCAAGCCUGAUGCAGCAACGCCGCGUGCGGGAUGACGGCCUGG